ACAUUUAAUUCUACACUUUUGUACCCAAGUGUAGAGGUCGGUCAGGCUUGCUUGGAACUUCUGAACAUUUAGAUUGAUUUAUGAGUGAUAGCUUAUAGAGAAGUCUAUCAUGGUGUAGUAAUACAUUAUGAGAAGAACGUGUUGUUCAACAAUAAGGGAGUGUGCAAAGGGUAAGUAGGUUAUAAGGUAGAAUCAUCGCCUCGCUCAUACAAUAGACGCCUCGGUGAGGAAUAAUCCAGAAAUCCCUUUAGUUGGUGACUGUGGGGCAAAUCGGGAAAUGCCAAUAAGUGAGUAUCGCGUAUAAUCCAGAGAGAAAUCUUUGGGUAAGAGGUCAGGUUCGUAAGAGUAGCAGAACGCGAGAGCAUUUUAGAAAAAUGAACUUGUUUGAAGAGUUUGGUUUCAUAUGCGAAUGGUCUGUGAAAUUUGGGAGUAAAAAGAAUCUCUCAUACACACGGCACAAAGUGUGGGCUGUAAUGGUUAUCGAAGACGUUUGAUAGCUUCGCUUACAGUUCUGUAGUGACUGAAUAAUAAUUGAUUAUCCAAUGUAGGGUGAAAGUCCACAAAAGUGUAGAAUUAAGU
rnacentral:sRNA from 12 species